rnacentral:rRNA from 1 species
UACAGGGGGUGCAAACGUUGCUCGGAAUUAUUGGGCGUAAAGCGCGCGUAGGCGGCUACUUAAGUCGGAUGUGAAAGCCCUUAGCUCAACUGAGGAAGUGCACCCGAAACUGAGUGGCUUGAGUACUAAAGAGGGUCGCGGAAUUCCCGGUGUAGAGGUGAAAUUCGUAGAUAUCGGGAGGAACACCGGUGGCGAAGGCGGCGACCUGGGUAGAUACUGACGCUGAGGCGCGAAAGCGUGGGGAGCAAACAGG